UUGAGCUCUACCCUUACGUCUCGUGUUCACUAGCACUUGGCAAAUUGCUGUGUGCCGAUUAGGCCGCCCAGCGUGGCUCGCUUGUGGGCGUGCUGGCAGCAUGCACGCCCACGUUCGAUUGUGCAUCAAUAAUUCAGCGUAGCAAGUUUGUAUGGAGGUCUGGUUAUUAAAUGGUUAAAUAGUUGAAUCCAUUCUCCAUUUCAUUCAUUUAUUCACAGGUAAAUAGUAAUAUGCUCUAAAACGCUCUGGUGACAAACCCACUUUGCUGCCCUGUUUCCAAUCAUCCACAUGGCUGGGAGAACCUAUUCAAGUAGCUAACUAACCGCCAUGGAGGAGGGUGAAAGGAUAGCAGCCCCAACUGUCAAAGUGAGCGAGGAGGCUAUUCUGGAUAGGGCAGGUACUUUUGUGUAGUUCCAGUCCCUAGAAGUGAGGAUGGGGAUAAUAGUAACAUAAUAUUCACUGUGGUCUAAUUUGAGUAUAAUGAAGUCUGUUUCUUGUGAGGUUUUCUGUCCUCAGAUACAGAGAGCUGUGAAAGCCUGUCUGCAGAUGAAGAGGUCCAAAUGAAGAGCAGUGGUUCUCAGUCCUGGUCCUGGGGACUCAAAUGGAUACCUUGUAACUGGAGAUUCCUUCAAAACGUUUGCCUCCAGUUACUGUGUAGGGCACUGCGAGGAUGGGUGACCAGGGCCAUCUGGGACUGCCUCCUGGGGGAAUUCAGGUGUGUGAAGGCUACCUGUGUCCUGCAUAACUUCCUAAGGAUGGACACGGGGACCAGGAGGGGAUCUGCAACUCGCCAACGCGUGCCAGAGGAGUAGUCUGCUGCUCUGCAGGAUGUUUCAAGGAUGGGGUCCAACAACGCAGCAAGAGAGGAAACCUAUGUGUGGGAAGUCUUCACCUCCUACUUCUUUGAAGAGUGUGCUGUUCCCUGGCAACACCAUAGACUAUGCACAACCAACGGUUCUUUUAAGAGCCAUUCACAUUGCAAUAAGAGUGUUCUUCCUUUUACUUAGCUAUGUCAACUGCAGUUCUUCAAUUCCCAGUUUCUCGCUCUUUGAUUUCUACUUCUCAGGUGAGGCAACUGUUUCGGUAAGGGUGUGAUGCCUGUACAAAAACAAACAGGCUAUUUUAAGUCACCCAUAUUGAAAAAAUGUAGAACAAUUAGACACCCUGUAACCCACACCUACACACUCAUGUAUCAAUCUGAUUGACGAACUGUGUUGUGCAGUAAGCAGGCUCAGGUGUAUAACAGUGGCUCCUUCCACCUUCAAAGAAUAGGCAAGAGGGCCAACCAUGGAGAAUAGUAAGACACUUCAUUAUUUAUAUAACUAUACUAUAUUGUUUGUCCUCGUGUGUCUGUGCAUGUUUUUCAGCAUAAAGUACUCUGCAGCCACUCUGCAGCCAGUGUGGACAGUAGAUGAGGCCACUUUAACUACCUUAUUUUCUCAAUAACAGUUUCUCUCCUUCACUUUAUCCCUCACUCCCCUUUUCCCUAAAUCCUCUAGGUUAUAUCAGCUGUGUCGGAGAACCCCUCCCGCAUCUGAAAUGGCUACAUAGAGUGCACAGCAUGAUCAGAGGGGAGGGGUGAGAGGACACUUGGUCAGCUCAACAGGAAGUAUUAUUAAAGAGAUGCUCUACGUUGAAAUACAAAUAGAUGUAGUAGUCCCAGAGUUAAUGAUCCAAGGUCAGUUUUGCAUUUCACCUCCUGAUGAUUAUGUUGACUGACAAUGUUAGAAAAAAAACAAGGCUUAAACAUGCUUUCUCUCUCCAUCUGUCUCUCGUCUGCAGGUAUGUUUUGAUGUGAGAGAGGAUGCCAACCCCCAGUCCCGUCAUCGCCACCUCACCCGCUCUUAAGAUAAUCUUCGGGCCGACUGGGAGCCCAAGGCUGGUUAGGAGACACCACUAGAGACACUAUUAUGUAAUUGUGAUGACCUGAGAGAAUAUGAAGUUUAGCAGCACUGUUUAGUAAUCCCUGCUCCUCUGUUCUUACCUCUUUCCCUUUCUGUCUUUUAUGCUCUUUCUCACCUCCUCUUUCUUCUUCUGUUUUUAUAAUGCACACCAGAUGUGCAUUGAAGUACAGAUUUAACUUGUAUUUAUAAUAUAACAAUUAUAAUAGUAUAAUGCAUGUAUUAUGUAUUUAUAAAACUUGAAAAUUCUUUCAAUAAAGCGUUUCACAUUCUCGA